CCUAGCAUCUCUUGAUUCGAACAGGCCUAGAAAGAGAAAUCAAUAAAUGAUUGUUGUACAAGGUACUUAUAUGAUAAUACCUUAUAAUUUCUCUAUCUGUGAUACUACUACCUGCGUAUUAGAUACCGAAAGUCUGAUUCAUAUCCGCAAUUCAUUACAGAGACUUUAGGUUAGUAGAAAAUUUGAGAAGAGAGAAUAAUUCCUGAAUG
rnacentral:lncRNA from 1 species